rnacentral:rRNA from 1 species
AGAGCGAACGCUGGCGGCAGGCCUAAAACAUGCAAGUCGAACGAACCCUUCGGGGUUAGUGGCGGACGGGUGAGUAACACGUGGGAACGUGCCUUUUGGUUCGGAACAACUCAGGGAAACUUGAGCUAAUACCGAAUGUGCCCUUCGGGGGAAAGAUUAUCGCCAUUAGAGCGGCCCGCGUCUGAUUAGCUAGUUGGUGAGGUAAAGGCUCACCAAGGCUACGAUCAGUAGCUGGUCUGAGAGGAUGAUCAGCCACACUGGGACUGAGACACGGCCCAGACUCCUACGGGAGGCAGCAGUUAGGAAUCUGCGCAAUGGGCAAAGCCUGACGCAGCCAUGCCGCGUGAAUGAUGAAGGUCUUAGGAUUGUAAAAUUCUUUCAGCGGGGACGAUAAUGACGGUACCCGCAGAAGAAGCUCCGGCUAACUUCGUGCCAGCAGCCGC